AGUGUUACUUCGUUACAUAGAAGACAACAGCAUCACUUCAGAUCUGGAUGUAGAUGGCCUUGGAGUUGCUAACAGUUGAAUCAAAAGAGAACGGGCCAGAGAGAGGCAGGAUUUUGGUUCAUGCUGAGGUAGUGUGGUGCAAAGCAAGCAGAAGGACUUCAGCUGAAGACUGUCUAGGCUGGAGAAACUGGAGGCUUGGUUUCCAGAAAGAGGAGCUGGUGCCAUGAGAUGGGUUCCAGAGAGAAAAAGGGGCCCAAAGAGAAGGUGAAGAUCCUGGCUGGAGGAUACAUCUGGGAAGUGAGGGAAGAUCCUGGAGGUGAGGUAAAUUCAUGGAGACCAAUGCCAGGGGAUGCCCAGCACCAAUAAUAGUGCCUGAGACCAGAAACUGCAAGCAGCAACCCAGCAGAAUCCAGCAGGACUUUCUGCCCAACUUGCUCUAGUCCAUGACCUGCCUGUAGGGAAGUCCUUGGGAACAUCAUGGGGAAGCUGUAACAGCCAUAGAGAAUAAGCAUAGAAAAAAGCCAAACACUGUUGAAGUUUCUGCAGAGGUGAUAUUCUUUUUUUUUUUCCUGAGGAUUCUGGAUGAACCUUAAAGCAAGCUAUGAGAUGGAGAAGGAAGCAGGGAGGGGGAAGUGCUGCUGUUAAUUUGGCAUUCAUUUUAAGGAGCUGAACUGCAGCCAGAAGUAGUGCAGAUGGCAUCUCAAUUCCCUCUUCUUUUGAAGAAAAUGUAUUUUUAAUACAGUAACUUUUUUUUUCCAUUAAGACAUUUUUAGCUGUGGAACAAGGACAGUUAAAGGCAGUAGUUAAACCCCCAGCUUUUAGAUGACAUUUCUGAAAGCAGUUUAUUUCUUGGAGUGGUAGAUGUAUGAAAGAUACUGUUUCUUCAAAGCCACAACAAGGAGCUGGGUAGUAAGGACACUAGGGGCUAGUUGGCAGAUGCCCUAGGAAGGAAGCAAAGGGACAGGACAGGUGAUACUGUUGCUUUUGCAUAUGGGUGUGGUGGUGACUGGGGAAUUUGUCUGUAUUAAACUGUAUCUUCUACUGUUCUGGACAGAUCCUACCUCUAAGCUUCUCCAGAUAAACUGCGUUCCAGACACCUGCUCAGUUCUCUUACACCUGAUUAAAUACCUAUCUGACUGCCAUCAGGGCUGCAA